AACGAACGCUGGCGGCAGGCCUAACACAUGCAAGUCGAACGCCCGUAGCAAUACGGGAGUGGCAGACGGGUGAGUAACGCGUGGGAACGUGCCCUUCGGUUCGGAAUAACUCAGGGAAACUUGAGCUAAUACCGGAUACGUCCGUAAGGAGAAAGAUUUAUUGCCGAAGGAUCGGCCCGCGUCGGAUUAGCUAGUUGGUGGGGUAAUGGCCCACCAAGGCGACGAUCCGUAGCUGGUCUGAGAGGAUGAUCAGCCACACUGGGACUGAGACACGGCCCAGACUCCUACGGGAGGCAGCAGUGGGGAAUAUUGGACAAUGGGCGAAAGCCUGAUCCAGCCAUGCCGCGUGAGUGAAGAAGGCCUUAGGGUUGUAAAGCUCUUUCAGCGGGAAGAUAAUGACGGUACCCGCAGAAGAAGUCCCGGCUAACUUCGUGCCAGCCGCCGCAGUAAG
rnacentral:rRNA from 1 species